CCGCUUGACUGGCGGCCACUCCCAAAGGCGGCCCUGGGUGGGGCUUCGCGGGCCUCGCUCCGCGAGCAGAACCGGUCUGACGGCGGAGGCUCGGAGGCAGGGAGGGAAGCGCCCUCAGAGCCCUCUGGUCGUUGAUUUCUCGGCCUGUUUCAUGUGGCGUUUAAUCUGACUCUUCCAUCGAAUCCGCCGUCUGAUUUUGAGCGCCCCUAAGGGGGCUCACGUCUUGAACCCAGAUGAAACGCAGGAAGGCAUAGAGAUAAGGAAAGUGGCUCUGAGCAGAAUCUGCUUGUUUCUCUGCCCGUGCUGCCCAAGUUUUCUCCAUGAUGAAAAUCCACAAAAUAGAUGAAAGCAAGCUAUUAUCCUCUUCUCCUGCACUUGGCCUCUAAGGACCUGCACCAUGAGCAGCUGUUUGGGCUCUCACUUUGAUGAAUGGGGCCAGAUCCAGCAGGCCAGUGACACUGGUGGUAGAGCAACAGGCCUCAUUGUUGUGGAGCCAGAUCCCAUUGAAUCAGUGGCGUCUGAGCUAGGCACCACGCAGCUGGGAUCUCCAGAGUCUCUAGGAACCAUCUCCCUCCACACAAGAAAUCCUCAUCUUCAUGUUGAACUGAUGCAUGAAAUUAUAGCACCAACCACUGCCAGGCAACUCUGUUCAGAAUGCUAAUCUCCACAGCUGGCCAGUGCAAGGGUUCAUGUGUGUUGACAGGGAAACCUAAUGGCUUGUGUGCGUGCAAAGCAGGAAUCAGUAGCCUUGCCUUAGGCCCCCAAAUGUUAAGCGAACCUGCAAGGAUGGCUUUGCAACAGUGUGAAGCUGGGGUGUGAAAUGACAGAGAGGGAGACUGGAAUGGAGUAUCUUGAAAUAAGGCAUUGACUAGCUUGCAGGCACACCAAACGGAAGCACCUCAUCUGGCAGCAGUAUGUUUCUGUACCACCUUUCUGUUUUAUGAAUUAUCUGUA